rnacentral:rRNA from 1 species
ACGGCUCAGUAACACGUGAUCAACUUACCCUAUAGAGAAAAAUAACCUCGGGAAACUGAGGACAAUGUUUCAUAGUUGAAUUGGCUUGGAAAAGUUUUUCGACGAAAGGGGUAAAAAAAAUGGUUUUUAUCUGCUAUAGGAUAGGAUCGUGUUCGAUUAUGGUUGUUGGUGAGGUAAUGGCUCACCAAGCCGAUAAUCGAUAGGGGCCGUGAGAGCGGGAGCCCCGAGAUGGGUACUGAGACAACGACCCAGGCCUUACGAGGCGCAGCAGGCGCGAAACCUCCGCAAUACACGAAAGUGUGACGGGGUUACCCAAAGUGUUCAAUUUUGAACUGUGGUAGGUGAGUAAUGUUCCCUACUAGAAAGGAGAGGGCAAGGCUGGUGCCAGCCGCCGCGGUAAAACCAGCUCUUCAAGUGGUCGGGAUAAUUAUUGGGCUUAAAGUGUCCGUAGCCGGUUUAGUAAGUUCCUGGUAAAAUCGGGUAGCUUAAUUAUCUAUAUGCUAGGAAUACUACUAUACUAGAGGGCGGGAGAGGUCUGAGGUACCGCAGGGGUAGGGGUGAAAUCUUAUAAUCCUUGUUGGACCACCAGUGGCGAAGGCGUCAGACCGGAACGCGCCUGACGGUGAGGGACGAAAGCCAGGGGAGCGAACCGGAUUAGAUACCCGGGUAGUCCUGGCCGUAAACGAUGCAUACUAGGUGAUGGCACGGCCAUGAGCCGUGUCAGUGCCGUAGGGAAACCGUUAAGUGUGCCGCCUGGGAAGUACGGUCGCAAGGCUAAAACUUAAAGGAAUUGGCGGGGGAGCACCACAAGGGGUGAAGCCUGCGGUUCAAUUGGACUCAACGCCGGA